GAAGCCGGAAUUGCUAGUAAUGGCAGGUCAGCAUACUGCCGUGAAUACGUUCCCGGGCCUUGUACACACCGCCCGUCACACCAUAAGAGUUGGAAUACCCGAAGCCUGUGAGCUAACAUUUAUGAGGCAGCAGUCGAAGGUAGAAUCAAUGAUUGGGGUGAAGUCGUAACAAGGUAGC
rnacentral:rRNA from 1 species